UGCAGCUGCAUAGUAAGAGACUAAGGCAUUGAUGCUGUUAAGAGACAAGACAGAGGAAGGGUUAUUAUCCCCCUGGUGCAGACAGGGGAUUAAGGCUCACACACAGACCAAGGGUCAUUAAAGGACCAUGUGGCUGAUCAGGGAGCUGGGUUAAAGGUUUGGUGUUAUAACAGCACCGACACAGACAAGAGCGGUGCUUGGUUUUUUGCCGGCACUUUCAUCGGUAGAUCUCAAAUCACUUUACAAAGCAGGUCCCUGUUGUUAUCCCCGCUGUCAUUAGCUCAGGGAGAAGGAGUGGCUUUGGCUACGACUAAAGCUGCCUUUUAAUGGGGGGGCCUCAUCAGGAGCAGAGCCUUAUCAUGGGGAGCACCUGCCUCAGCUUUGCAGCUCUUCCAGGCCUCUCCCUUUCCAAUUCCCUUGCAUUAUUCGGUCACAGACGGCGCGGCAGAUCACACAGCGCUGCCUUGAUGCGAACCGAUGAGCUGUGUGCAUGAGGCGGAUGGGACGGGGGGACAUGGGAGCACGAAGGGAAACAGGUCCCUGGUUGGGAAGGCCGGAGUUUUUGGCUGGAGUCCGGCUGAUAUCCAGACGCAGCCAGAGCGCAGCAGCUUCAGAGAAGCUUUUGCAGAGAAGUGAGGGCCGAGAAGCAGGCACCUGCGGUGCAUCACCACACACGGGCCACCCGCUCCCUCCGCUCCAGAGACCCACGUACCUCUGCCAUUCAACAUCUCAGAGCAACCAGGAGAGGGCAAUGACACCUACACGUAACCUGUGCAAUCCAGCCCUGGCAUGGGACCCGGGGUUCCCCUUCCACCCUUCCAGUGCCACUCCAGGCCCACCCACCCCCUGCUUGAAUCUCGCAACAGUGAACACUGCAGGCCUCCAGCUGAGGCUCUGCUCUCUGUCAUGAUAAACUGAAACAUGCACCAACUUUGAGAAAAGGAGAGAGGAAGAAGGCUAAUAAAAAAAAAUUACAGCUGCUGAGCCAGACAACUUCCACACAGCUCGAGUUCCAGCUCGGUCACUGCUGACCAAGGUCCACCGUGUGCAAAACUCUACAGCACUGACCGAUCUAAUAUCUGAAAUGGAUAACGGCCCAUAAACAGACCACUGCAGAAAUCACAGGGAGUCUCUGUUAAUAGGAUUUCCUUGUCAAACUUAAUUAAAAAAAAAAAAAAAGCUUUACCAAAUGUAACCCUCCUUUCCAGGACCCGAGAUGGCCCUGCUGCCUGAGAUGUGACUACAGGGGAUGACACCUUGUUUGUUAUGUAAAUAGAUGAAGGCAGGAAGAAAUGUUAAUUUGCUCCGUGCUGUUGCCUCUUGGUUACUUGGGAGAUCGCAGCGGGGUCAUCAUUAAAAGGAGAUAGCUUUGGAAAUUAGAAAUGAACAAUUGUCUUAAUGAACAGCCAGGCCUCUGCCACUGAGUUCAGGGCUUGGUUUGGGCUUUGUCAUACGGUAGCACUUUUUCCGAGCUGCAGUGUUAAUCAGCAUUGUUUCCACUGAUUGACUUGAAUGCAGAUGGUGUUUGUUACUUUUAGGCUUGCACACGCAAGGGGUUGAGCAAGCGGCCCUUUGAUGGGGUGCUGGACUGGUACUGGGUUGAUGUGACUUCAGUCUGUGCCUCCGGCACACAUGGGAGCUACGUAGGUGAGAUGUCACUUAGACCAAGCCUCUCAAACUGGCUCUGGCUCCCAGGUCCCAAGCAAGUGCAAACCUGAGGACAAGACACUGAGGUCUUAAAAUGGGACAGUAUUUCCUUUCUUUCCGGGGAGGUUGGAAGAUUCAAGUCGAAGACUAUCUCUCUUGUAUGUAUGUGCUGCGCCUAGCAGGCUGAGGCCCUGAUCUCGGUGUUGGACUCUAGGUGCUAUUACAGUGAUGUUCAGGGGCUCUAUGUUACCCACUGGGCCUUAG